GUGCCCCCCAAAAAAACAUUGUUGUUGUUGCGAGCCACCAGGUGGAUCACUGACCAUUGCAAUCAUAGAUUGGUUUUUGGUGGCGUUCCACAUUUUUUUUGUUAUUUUGCAUAUAUUAGGAAAUACCAAAUCGGUAUUCUCGUAUAUAGCCUUAAUUGUAUACUUUGCCCAUUGCAUAGGAUGUACACUGGUAAUAAUAUCAUAUUUCUGGCGAAAGAAGGUACUACCCAUGAUUUAUUUAAUUACUGGAUUUUUUCGCCUUUUUUUAAUAAUAAUUUCCACAAUUAUAAAUAUCAUAAACCUGACAUGUAUAAUACCCCUGAUAUUUAUAAUAUUUCAAUUAACAGUGAUUGGUCUAGGUAUUUACUUCUGGAUAUGCAUUUACUUCUGGU